AUGGCGGAGCUUACGUCGGGCGCCGUGCGCUCGCUGCUGGGCGUCAUCCGCAACGAGGCCCUGCUGCUGGGCCGCGUCCAGCAUGACGUGCAGUUCAUCCAGGAAGAGAUGGAGAGCAUGCAGAGCUUCUUGACUCACCUGUCAAAGAAGGCGCCCGGCGGUGGUGACCAGGACGAGCAGAUGCGCACGUGGAUGAACCAGGUCCGGCUGCUCGCCCAGGACAGCAACAACUGCAUCGACAUGUACCUGUACCGCGGCAACCCCGACCUCCAUCUUGCCAGCGGCGGCCUCCGGCGCUACAUCGCGUGGCUUCCCUGGUUUGUGCACAAGAUGGUGGCGCAGCGUCGCGCGGCCAUCCAGCUGGGUGUGCUCAGGGAAAGGGCGCAUGACAUUGGCGAGCGGCGAGUCAGCUACACCUUCUACCUACACCAUUCAGCUUGCAUCAAGAUCCAUGCUAUUGCUAUCCUUGUAUAG
rnacentral:rRNA from 1 species